GAUGAACGCUGGCGGCGUGCCUAAUACAUGCAAGUCGAGCGAACAGACGAGGAGCUUGCUCCUCUGACGUUAGCGGCGGACGGGUGAGUAACACGUGGAUAACCUACCUAUAAGACUGGGAUAACUUCGGGAAACCGGAGCUAAUACCGGAUAAUAUAUUGAACCGCAUGGUUCAAUAGUGAAAGACGGUUUUGCUGUCACUUAUAGAUGGAUCCGCGCCGCAUUAGCUAGUUGGUAAGGUAACGGCUUACCAAGGCAACGAUGCGUAGCCGACCUGAGAGGGUGAUCGGCCACACUGGAACUGAGACACGGUCCAGACUCCUACGGGAGGCAGCAGUAGGGAAUCUUGCGCAAUGGGCGAAAGCCUGACGGAGCAACGCCGCGUGAGUGAUGAAGGUCUUCGGAUCGUAAAACUCUGUUAUUAGGGAAGAACAAAUUUGUAAGUAACCAUGCACGUCUUGACGGUACCUAAUCAGAAAGCCACGGCUAACUACGUG
rnacentral:rRNA from 1 species